rnacentral:rRNA from 1 species
AGUGAACGCUGGCGGUAGGCCUAACACAUGCAAGUCGAACGGCAGCACAAGAGAGCUUGCUCUCUGGGUGGCGAGUGGCGGACGGGUGAGGAAUACAUCGGAAUCUACUCUGUCGUGGGGGAUAACGUAGGGAAACUUACGCUAAUACCGCAUACGACCUACGGGUGAAAGCAGGGGACCUUCGGGCCUUGCGCGAUUGAAUGAGCCGAUGUCGGAUUAGCUAGUUGGCGGGGUAAAGGCCCACCAAGGCGACGAUCCGUAGCUGGACUGAGAGGAUGAUCAGCCACACUGGAACUGAGACACGGUCCAGACUCCUACGGGAGGCAGCAGUGGGGAAUAUUGGACAAUGGGCGCAAGCCUGAUCCAGCCAUACCGCGUGGGUGAAGAAGGCCUUCGGGUUGUAAAGCCCUUUUGUUGGGAAAGAAAUCCAGCUGGCUAAUACCCGGUUGGGGUGACGGUACCCAAAGAAUAAGCACCGGCUAACUUCGUGCCAGCAGCCGCAGUAA